rnacentral:rRNA from 1 species
GUGGGGAAUCUUGCGCAAUGGGCGAAAGCCUGACGCAGCCAUGCCGCGUGGAUGAUGAAGGUCUUAGGAUUGUAAAAUCCUUUCACCGGUGAAGAUAAUGACUGUAGCCGGAGAAGAAGCCCCGGCUAACUUCGUGCCAGCAGCCGCGGUAAUACGAAGGGGGCUAGCGUUGCUCGGAUUUACUGGGCGUAAAGGGCGCGUAGGCGGACAUUUAAGUCAGGGGUGAAAUCCCGGGGCUCAACCUCGGAACUGCCUUUGAUACUGGGUGUCUUGAGUUUGGGAGAGGUGAGUGGAACUCCGAGUGUAGAGGUGAAAUUCGUAGAUAUUCGGAAGAACACCAGUGGCGAAGGCGACUCACUGGCCCAAUACUGACGCUGAGGCGCGAAAGCGUGGGGAGCAAACAGGAUUAGAUACCCGUGUAGUCC